CCGUAAGGAGCCAGCCGCCUAAGGUGGGACAGAUGAUUGGGGUGAAGUCGUAACAAGGUAGCCGUAUCGGAAGGUGCGGCUGGAUCACCUCCUUUCUAAGGAA
rnacentral:rRNA from 1 species